CUCCAGACCAGGUUUAGGCUCUGCCCCUGUGUUUGGAGAGCAAGAAAUGAAACUAAGCUUUUUUUCAGGAAACUGAAACAGAGAAGCAGCCAAGUUUCGUUUUACGAUUCUUCUUGCUUCAUUUGAAUACUCCUGCUGACCUCAGCCCCAAACCUCCCCAGGUAGGAACUGGGCACUCCCAAUUCCCUCCACAUCUAGUAAGUGCUUACUGGGGAGGGCUCCAACUGCCUGUGGAGGAAACAGCAAAGUGGGACAGGACCAAACGCUUUGAUUCUACCUCUUCCCCUGUGACCCCAAACAGCUAGCCUUGUCCAAUAAGCACACUGGCAAAUCUCAAAAAAAAAAAAGUUGGGCGGAGCUCAGGACCACGGAUUUUUCUCCCGACUUUACAGGGAAAGGGCCCUUGAUUGAGAGGACUCAGAGUCCAUUUGAAAAAUCAGCACAUGUAUGUCUCGAUGGAGACACAGUGGAAAAAGUUCCUAGUCCCCUUGGCUUUUCUGGGAGCCAUGGUCAUCAUACUGUCAACCCUCCUGGGGGUUUACGCGUACAGAGCCAACUCAGAAGCCUGUCAGCAGGGCUUGGUGCUCCACAACGAAAGCCAGCAACUAAAGAAGAAGCUGAGGCAGAGCCAGGAAAGCUUCCUGGAGAUGGAGGCCCAAUGGUGGAGCUGCGGCAAUAUUUCGAGAAACUUGAACAAUAACUUGGAGGAGAUGACAUCCCAGAGAGAAUUGCUGCUCAGUCAGUUACAGAAGCUGAAGGAAGAGAACCAGAAUUUGGCUGAGAAACUUAGGAAUGCUGAGGCAGCCCUUCAGAUGCAGAGAGAAAAAAAGAACCCAGCAGAGACAAGUUCAGCACUCCCUGGCCCUCAGAUCUACUCUUUACUUCUGAGUCUAGGUCUGGCCAUUGCCUUGAUUCCCUGAGCAUCCUGAGCAAG
rnacentral:lncRNA from 1 species